UACAGAGGUCUCAAGCGUUGUUCGGAUUCAUUGGGCGUAAAGGGUGCGUAGGCGGCGCGGUAAGUCGGGUGUGAAAUCUUGGAGCUUAACUCCGAAACUGCAUUCGAUACUGCCGUGCUUGAGGACUGGAGAGGAGACUGGAAUUUACGGUGUAGCGGUGAAAUGCGUAGAUAUCGUAAGGAAGACCAGUGGCGAAGGCGGGUCUCUGGGCCACUACUGACGCUGAGAAGCGAAAGCAUGGGGAGCGAACCGGA
rnacentral:rRNA from 1 species